CCGAGCGGUGCUAACUGCAGUCGACGGACUCUUCGGAGUUAGUGGCGGACGGGUGAGUAACACGUGAGAAUCUGGCUCUAGGUCGGGGACAACAGUUGGAAACGACUGCUAAUACCGGAUGUGCCGUAAGGUGAAAGAUUUAUUGCCUGGAGAUGAGCUCGCGUCUGAUUAGCUAGUUGGUGGGGUAAGAGCCUACCAAGGCGACGAUCAGUAGCUGGUCUGAGAGGACGAUCAGCCACACUGGGACUGAGACACGGCCCAGACUCCUACGGGAGGCAGCAGUGGGGAAUUUUCCGCAAUGGGCGAAAGCCUGACGGAGCAAUACCGCGUGAGGGAGGAAGGCUCUUGGGUUGUAAACCUCUUUUCUCAAGGAAGAACACAAUGACGGUACUUGAGGAAUAAGCAUCGGCUAACUCCGUGCCAGCAGCCGCGGUAAUACGGAGGAUGCAAGCGUUAUCCGGAAUGAUUGGGCGUAAAGCGUCCGCAGGUGGUCUUGUAAGUCUGCUGUUAAAGCGUGAGGCUCAACCUCAUAAUGGCGGUGGAAACUACAAAACUAGAGUACGUUCGGGGCAGAGGGAAUUCCUGGUGUAGCGGUGAAAUGCGUAGAUAUCAGGAAGAACACCGGUGGCGAAAGCGCUCUGCUAGGCCGUAACUGACACUGAGGGACGAAAGCUAGGGGAGCGAAUGGGAUUAGAUACCCCAGUAGUCCUAGCCGUAAGCGAUGGAUACUAGGCGUUGCUUGUAUCGACCCGAGCAGUGCCGUAGCUAACGCGUUAAGUAUCCCGCCUGGGGAGUACGCACGCAAGUGUGAAACUCAAAGGAAUUGACGGGGGCCCGCACAAGCG
rnacentral:rRNA from 1 species